AGAAUGAACGCUGGCGGCAUGCCUAACACAUGCAAGUCGAACGAAACCUUCGGGUUUAGUGGCGCACGGGUGCGUAACGCGUGGGAAUCUACCCCUUGGUUCGGAAUAACAGUUGGAAACGACUGCUAAUACCGGAUGAUGACGUAAGUCCAAAGAUUUAUCGCCGAGGGAUGAGCCCGCGUAGGAUUAGGUAGUUGGUGUGGUAAAGGCGCACCAAGCCGACGAUCCUUAGCUGGUCUGAGAGGAUGAUCAGCCACACUGGGACUGAGACACGGCCCAGACUCCUACGGGAGGCAGCAGUGGGGAAUAUUGGACAAUGGGCGAAAGCCUGAUCCAGCAAUGCCGCGUGAGUGAUGAAGGCCUUAGGGUUGUAAAGCUCUUUUACCCGGGAUGAUAAUGACAGUACCGGGAGAAUAAGCUCCGGCUAACUCCGCGCCAGCAGCCGC
rnacentral:rRNA from 1 species